rnacentral:tRNA from 2 species
AUGUAGCCAAGUGGAUCAAGGCAGUGGAUUGUGA